UACGUAGGGAGCAAGCGUUGUCCGGAAUUAUUGGGCGUAAAGGGCGCGUAGGCGGGAAUUUAAGUCAGAUGUGAAAACUGAGGCUCAACUUUCAGAUUGCAUUUGAAACUGGAUUUCUUGAGGGCAGGAGAGGAAAGUGGAAUUCCUAGUGUAGCGGUGAAAUGCGUAGAUAUUAGGAGGAACAUCAGUGGCGAAGGCGACUUUCUGGACUGAACCUGACGCUGAGGCGCGAAAGCGUGGGGAGCAAACGGGGAUUAGAUACCCCUGUAGUCCCU
rnacentral:rRNA from 1 species